rnacentral:rRNA from 1 species
GACAGAGGGUGCAAACGUUGUUCGGAAUUAUUGGGCGUAAAGAGCUCGUAGGCGGCUUGUCACGUCGGGUGUGAAAGCCCGGGGCUUAACCCCGGGUCUGCAUUCGAUACGGGCUAGCUAGAGUGUGGUAGGGGAGAUCGGAAUUCCUGGUGUAGCGGUGAAAUGCGUAGAUAUCGGGAGGAACACCUGUGGCGAAGGCGGCCCCCUGGUUGGAUACUGACGCUGAUACGCGAAAGCGUGGGGAGCAAACAGG